CAACCAUAGUUCCCAACCGAUACGCGAAAGACAGACUUGCUGCUGCAGGGCUUGGAGAAAAACGUCUCACAUUCCAAGGUCGCCCUCAGGCAGUGGCGUGGAUCCCACUCCCCUCCUGGGGAGGCAGAACGUAACACCCAAUGAGGGUUACCAUGUGAGACAUUUGAAAGAUCCACAAACUCAGAUCGGUCAUGCUACAAUUUUCAUCCGACCACUGCAAAGAAACCUCAAUCUUGACCAUGAAGCUCAACAAGGAGGCAGUAAUGAGUGAGGCGGACCCCUUCAGAAGUGUCUCACAUGUGGAGAGGAGUUCCCUUUCACAAGAAUCAAGGCUCACAGUGAUGAAUGCGCGAGUGGCAGUCAAUCAAUCAAUGACGUUGGGGUGACCACCACAGAAAGUGCCUCCUGAAGUGAAGGUAGAUUGUUUGGCAUGUUGACAAGACUACAGAGAGGUGAGACAACCAGGGACAGCAACACAAACCACUCCGUGCCACCUCAGGGACAUGUGGCUGCUCCUGAGAUAGUUGACCUGGUUCCCACUGAGGAGGGGGGCUUUCCAGAUUGGAAAGUUCUUGCAAAUCCCAGCAAUGCAGCCAAGACCUUCAAAGAAAAUAUUUUAAGCCAGCAUGCAACGGGAAAGUCCUUGUAUCUUGCCAUGGAUCUGAGCGACAGUGUGGAGGACAGGGAAAGGGCUUUGCUUUCUUUUUAUAAGAUGGCCAAUGUUGAGUGGGCUUGCCCCUUGAAAUGCAAACUCAAGGGAGAUCCAGCUAUUGGUGAUGGCGUCACUCGACAUUUCUUUGCAACCAUCAUGUCCAAACUGCAAAAUGGUUUUGAGAUUAAUUUUGG